rnacentral:misc_RNA from 1 species
AGAGGCUAAUGAAAGGGUUGUGAAGCUACCCUUCAUUUGAAAACCAUCUAUAUGUUAUAACAGAAAGGAAAAGGACUAUAAGAAGGGAGCAAGUGCUGGUGCUCACCUUCAUCUCCUUUAAAAACUCUUUCUUCUGAAAGCACAACAUGGAACUAAUAUAUGUCUAAGGAGACAAUUGGAACUUUUCAUUUGAGCAACCCAUCUUUCGGUUCCCAACAUGAUUUGAGAAACUUAUAACUCAGUUUGAUCUAUUCAUGCCAGAUCACCUGGUUCUUGAGCUCCCAAGAGUAAGCUCCAGAUCAUCUGAU